UCCGGUAUGGUGUAACGGCUAACAUUGCCGCCUUUCAAUAGUCUUGAUUAUCGCGGCAGCUCGGGGUUCGAUUCCCCGUACCGGAA